rfam:Alicyclobacillus sp. TSBA-503 genome assembly, contig: Ga0105849_161
GGGAGGACCACCUCCUAAGGCUAAAUACUCCCUGGCAACCGAUAGCGGAGAGUACCGUGAGGGAAAGGUGAAAAGAACCGCGGGAGCGGAGUGAAAGAGAACCUGAAACCGUGUGCUUACAAGCAGUCGGAGUCCGAAAGGAUGACGGCGUGCCUUUUGUAGAAUGAACCGGCGAGUGAUGGUGAUGAGCGAGGUUAAGGCAGGGAAGCCGGAGCCGAAGCGAAAGCGAGUCUGAAGAGGGCGAGAAGUUGAUUGCCAUCGACCCGAAACCGGGUGAGCUACCCCUGGUCAGGGUGAAGUGCGGGUAACACCGCAUGGAGGCCCGAACCCACCGGCGUUGAAAAGCCGGGGGAUGAACUGGGGGUAGGGGAGAAAUUCCAAUCGAACCCGGAGAUAGCUGGUUCUCCCCGAAAUAGCUUUAGGGCUAGCGUCACGGAUGAGGGACGGAGGUAGAGCACCGAUGGGGUGCGGGGCCCGACCAGGGUUACCAAGCUCCGUCGAACUCCGAAUGCCGUUUCAUUGAACCGUGGCAGUCAGACUGCGAGUGCUAAGAUCCGUAGUCAAGAGGGAAACAGCCCAGACCAACAGCUAAGGUCCCCAAGGGUGGUUAAGUGGGAAACGAUGUGGCGGUGCAUAGACAACCAGGAUGUUGGCUUAGAAGCAGCCAUCAUUGAAAGAGUGCGUAAUAGCUCACUGGUCGAGUGACGCUGCGCGGAAAAUGUAACGGGGCUAAACCACACACCGAAGCUAUGGCUGUGGGAAGACCACAGGGUAGGGGAGCGUUCCAUAAGCGGAGAAGCCUUCUUGAGAGGGAAGGUGGAGGUUAUGGAAGUGAGAAUGCCGGUAUGAGUAGCGAAAAGAGGGGUGAGAAUCCCCUCCGCCGAAAGCCCAAGGUUUCCUGGGGAAGGAUCGUCCACCCAGGGUUAGUCGGGACCUAAGGCGAGGCCGAGAGGCGUAGUCGAAGGAGAACGGGUUGAGAAUCCCGUACCAGAUGGAUUUGCAUGACUGAAGGGGUGACGCAGGAGGCUAGAGCGAGCGGCCGGAUGGAAGAGGCCGUCCAAUCCGCAAGGGGGUCGCGCAGGGAAAACCGCGCGGCGAGAACUCUGAGCGGUGAUGGGGAGGGAAGAAGAGUACCGAAGCGCUCGAGGUCACACUGCCAAGAAAAGCCUCUAGGGAGAAUGCAUCUGCCCGUACCGGAAACCGACACAGGUGGGCGCGUGGAGAACACGGAGGCGCGCGGGAGCACUCUCGUUAAGGAACUCGGCAAAAUGGCCCCGUAACUUCGGGAGAAGGGGCGCUCUGAAGAAGAGCCGCAGUGAAAAGGCCCAAGCGACUGUUUAGCAAAAACACAGGUCUCUGCGAAGCCGAAAGGCGAAGUAUAGGGGCUGACGCCUGCCCGGUGCUGGAAGGUUAAGAGGAGGGGUGAGGGCGAGAGCCCGAAGCUCUGAAUUGAAGCCCCAGUAAACGGCGGCCGUAACUAUAACGGUCCUAAGGUAGCGAAAUUCCUUGUCAGGUAAGUUCUGACCCGCACGAAAGGCGUAACGACUUGGGCGCUGUCUCAACGAGAGACCCGGUGAAAUUGUAAUACCUGUGAAGAUGCAGGUUACCCGCGGCUAGACGGAAAGACCCCGUGGAGCUUGACUGUAGCUUGAUAUGGGAGACGGGCAUGUCAUGUACAGGAUAGGUGGGAGACACAGAAGCAUGGGCGCCAGCCUGUGUGGAGUCGAUGUUGGGAUACCACCCUUGAGAUGCUAGUCUUCUAACCU